CUAGAGAAGACAUGUCGGCCCAUGAGAUGUUAGUGAGAGUUCGAAAUUUCUCCCAGUCGGCUGUGUCUAUCUUCCACCUAGGAGCUUGUGGAGGACAUUCGUUUUCUUUAGAUGUUCUUAUCAGUAUCGGGAAGUGGUCGCUCCCGUAAGGAUUGUUCAUAACUUCCCAUUCGAGUUCAGGCAGUAUACACGGGGAAACUAGGCUGAGGUCAAUUGAUGAAAAUGUUCUGUUGGCGAGAGAAUAAUAUGUGGGUGCCUUCUUAUUCAGCAGGCAUGCACCAGAAGAGAAGAGGAACUGUUCAACAAGACGACCUCGCGCAUCUAUACGAGAGUCGCCCCACAGGGAGCUGUGCGCAUUGAAGUCGCCAAGAACAACAUAGGGUUCUGGCAGUUCAUCUAUAAAGGACUGAAAUUCAUGUUUAGUUAAUUUGUAAUGUGGGGGUAUAUAAAGCGAGCAAAUAGUGAUGAGUUUGUUUAGCAGAACAACUCGCACCGCCACUGCUUCAAGGGGCGUUCGAAGCUGUAAAGGUUGACAUGCUAUACUUUUAUGUGUGAGAAUCGCAACACCACCCGAUGAUGCGAUGGCAUCAUCGCGAUCUUUACGAAACGUAACAUACGUACGGAGAAAGUUUGCGUGUCUGGAUUUUAAAUGUGUUUCCUGUAAACACAGCACUUUUGGAUUAUGUUUGUGGAUGAGUUCUUGCAAAUCAUCAAGGUUUGUAAGGAGACCUCUAAUGUUCCAUUGAAUGAUUUGUGUAUCCAUACUUAAAAUAAAUUGGUGCUGUGUUUACGGAAACGGACGGGAUGCCUUAGAUUACAGAACCCUUUCGAGGCCCUGUAAUAGGGGUUUUGUUCUUUCUGGAGCGUUCGAGGGAGCCUCGCCGCUCCUUAGGCGCUUGGUGCGCCUUGAGGAUGGGUGUAGUGUCCAUUGCCUCUUGUGAGGCGCCGGACACGUGCUCUUGCGAGCGGGAAGAUUUCAGAGGGAGUCCCGCCUUGGAGGGCAAGACCCCUGCGCCCACCAGCCCGGAGGUCGAUGGGGCUCCCAGAGGGAUUUGGCUACGCCGGCCGUUGCCAGCGCAUGAAGGAACCUCGGAAGUUGAGGCAGCCUCGGCUGCGCCCUCCUUCGGGGUCGAUGGUUCCUUCUCCUCGGUUGACGGAGCAGCGCUAGCUGCAACCGUCGCGGGGGCAGAUGGCGUGACUGCCGACUCACUGCUUGUGGGUCGGACAGCCGCCGGAGGCCGUUGUGACGCUGCCCCCUGACGCGCCACUUCGGCAAAGCUUUUCUUUGGCAGGAUGGGCACGACCGUGAGUACGCGGCGUGAUCCCCAUCACAGUUUACACAGUGUAGAGAGUUCUUACAUUCUUCAGUUGCGUGUUCAAGGGCACUGCAUUUGGCGCAUGUUUGGCGGCCUCGGCAGCUCUGCGAGCUGUGGCCAAAACGUUGGCAUUUGAAACAUCUCAAGGGAUUUGGCACAUACGGGCGUACACGAAGCUUGAUGUACCCGGCCUCGAUUGACUCGGGCAGGACACUUGAAUUGAAGCCCUCCAAGAGCUCAGCCUCAGAGAGCUCCAGCAAAUCAUCGUCCGAGACAACGCCGCGGGAAGUAUUCAUCGUGCGGUGCGGGGUUACUACUACUUGGGUCUCCCCAAAUGAUACUAGCUGAGGCAGUUUUUCAAAUUGCUUCUGAUCGCGGAGCUCCAGGAGGAGGUCUCCGCUAGCCAUCCUCGACACCUUAUAUCCUGGACCAAAAACUUCGAGUGGAUCACGUGAAAACGAGGGAAGGAUUCUUUUUGUCGACCAAAAAACUGGAAUAAAUCAUCGGUGCGCCCUCUUUUCUGAGGGCGAUCAGGAAGUGGAGGGAAGGAUGUUGCCAUAAAGGAAUUGAAUUUUCGGCAAUAACGCCAGCCACCCACCAUGGAGUCCUACAAGGGGACGCUACAGAGACUGUAAGAACAGGUCCUGUAAACGCCAGCUGUACGUCAUCACUAUAACCAAAUAUGAAAUAACCUAGGUUGGUUAAUCACACAAGGUUAACCCUUGCUGCCUGGAAACUAUGGAAGUAAGCGGAAGGAAGGAGCAGACAGGAAAGAUGAAAAGUGAGAGAAAGACGAAGGCUGGAGGGAGAGAGAGACAGGAAAAGGCAACUACCGAUUUCCCCCGGGUGGGUCAGUCCGGGGGGGCCGUCUAUGUGAAGCAGAGGCCAAAGGGGUGUGUGGCGUCCGCCGGGGGGCCUUAAAGGUCCAGACACCCAGCAUCGGCUCAACCCCCAGGAUCCCCCUUUCCCCAGACACGGCUAAGCCGCGCACGGCUACACGCGGGAGGGUCCAACCCUCGUGUGCUCGGGUACGUGGUGUCGCAACACACCAAACGCCUGCUGACGCAGACGCCCCUG
rnacentral:lncRNA from 1 species